rnacentral:rRNA from 1 species
GUGCCAGCAGCCGCGGUAAUACGUAGGAUCCAAGCGUUGUCCGGAUUUACUGGGUGUAAAGGGCGUGUAGGUGGAUUUUUAAGUCGGUGGUGAAAUCCUGCAGCUCAACUGCAGAAUUGCCUCCGAUACUGGAAGUCUUGAGUGCGGCAGAGGGAGACGGAAUUCAUGGUGUAGCGGUGAAAUGUGUAGAUAUCAUGAAGAACACCGGUUGCGAAGGCGGUCUCCUGGUCCGUUACUGACACUGAGGCGCGAAAGCGUGGGGAGCAAACAGGAUUAGAUACCCCCGUAGUCC